rnacentral:tRNA from 1 species
GCUGAUGUGGCACAGUCGGUAGCGCACUUCACUCGUAAUGAAGGGGUCGCAGGUUCGAAUCCUGUCAUCAGCA